rnacentral:tRNA from 1 species
ACCUGACUGGCUCAGUUGGUACAGCAUGGGACUCUUGAUCUUGCGGUUGUGAGUUUAAGCCACACGUUGGGUG